CUACGGGUCGCACCAGUGGGGAAUAUUGGACAAUGGGGGAAACCCUGAUCCAGCAAUGCCGCGUGUGUGAAGAAGGCCUGCGGGUUGUAAAGCACUUUCGGUUGGGAGGACUGCUUCUAGCACUAAUAUUGUUGGAAGUUGACGUUACCUUCAGAAGAAGCACCGGCUAACUCCGUGCCAGCAGCCGCGGUAAUACGGAGGGUGCAAGCGGUAAUCGGAAUUACUGGGCGUAAAGCGCGCGUAGGCGGCUAGAUCAGUCGGGUGUGAAGGCCCCGGGCUUAACCUGGGAACUGCAUCCGAUACUGUCUAGCUUGAGUACAGGAGAGGAGAGUGGAAUUCCACAUGUAGCGGUGAAAUGCGUAGAUAUGUGGAGGAACACCAAUGGCGAAGGCAGCUCUCUGGCCUGAUACUGACGCUGAGGUGCGAAAGCGUGGGGAGCAAACAGGAUUAGAUACCCGGGUAGUC
rnacentral:rRNA from 1 species